rnacentral:rRNA from 1 species
AUCGAACGCUGGCGGCAGGCCUAACACAUGCAAGUCGAGCGGAUGAAGGGAGCUUGCUCCUGGACUCAGCGGCUUACGGUUGAGUAAUGCCUAGGACUCGGCCUGGUAGCGUGAGAUAACUACCUCAAACGGGCGCUAAUCCCCCGUACGUCGUGAGGAAGAAAGUGUGACACCUUCGUACCUCACGCUAUCAGAGGAGCAUAGGCCGGAUUAGCUAGUUGGUGGGGUACAGACCUACCAAGGCGACGAUCCGCAACUGGUCUGAGAGCAAGGUCAGGCACACGGGAAGUGAGACAGGGUCGAGACUCUUAAGCGAGGCCGCAGUGGGGAAUAUUGGACAAUGGGGGAAAGCCUGAUCCAGCCAUGCCGAGUGUGUGCAGAAGGUCUUCGGAUUGUAAAGCACUUUAAGUUGGGAGGAAGGGCAGUAAGUUAAUACCUUGCUGUUUUGACGUUACCAACAGAAUAAGCACCGGCUAACUUCGUG